rnacentral:rRNA from 1 species
UUGCCGGCGACCGGCGCACGGGUGAGUAACACGUAUGCAACCUGCCCGUCUCAGGGGGAUAAUCGUCGGAAACGGCGUCUAAUACCCCGUAUGAAGCUGGACGGCAUCGUCUGGUUUUGAAAGAAUAUCGGAGACGGGUGGGCAUGCGGCGCAUUAGCUAGUUGGCGGGGUAACGGCCCACCAAGGCGACGAUGCGUAGGGGUUCUGAGAGGAAGGUCCCCCACACUGGUACUGAGACACGGACCAGACUCCUACGGAAGGCAGCAG